CCUACGGGGGGCAGCAGUAGGGAAUCUUUCACAAUGGGCGAAAGCCUGAUGGAGCAACGCCGCGUGCAGGAUGAAGGCUUUCGGGUUGUAAACUGCUUUUAUAAGCGAGAAAUAUGAUGGUAACUUAUGAAUAAGGAUCGGCUAACUACGUGCCAGCAGCCGCGGUCAUACGUAGGAUCCGAGCAUUAUCCGGAGUGACUGGGUGUAAAGAGUUGCGUAGGUGGCAUAAUAAGUAGCUAGUGAAAUCUGGUGGCUCAACCAUUCAGACUAUUAGCUAAACUGUUAAGCUCGAGACCGUUAGGGGUAACUGGAAUUUCUAGUGUAGGAGUGAAAUCCGUAGAUAUUAGAAGGAACACCAAUAGCGUAGGCAGGUUGCUGGGACGGUUCUGACACUAAGGCACGAAAGCGUAGGGAGCAAACGGGAUUAGAUACCCGAGUAGUC
rnacentral:rRNA from 1 species